UACAGAGGGGGCAAGCGUUAUUCGGAAUUAUUGGGCGUAAAGCGCGUGUAGGCGGCUUGGUAGGUCAGCUGUGAAAACUCGAGGCUCAACCUCGAGAUGUCGGUUGAAACCACCUUGCUGGAGUCCGGAAGAGGAGAGUGGAAUUCCUGGUGUAGCGGUGAAAUGCGCAGAUAUCAGGAAGAACACCAAUGGCGAAGGCAGCUCUCUGGGACGGUACUGACGCUGAGACGCGAAAGCGUGGGGAGCGAACAGG
rnacentral:rRNA from 1 species